AGUUAAAUUGGGUUGAAAAAAGACAAAGUCCAUCAAGUUCAACCCCUCCAAAUGAAAACCCAGCAUCCAUACUGUGACCAAAACCCCCUUCUACUGGCCCCAUUUUACCCAUAGUUUACUGACUAGUACACAUACAAUCCAAGAUGGUGUUUCUUUGUUCUACUUUCCCGCCAAAAAGCUUGAAACAAAGGAGCUCCCAGGAUUGCCCUCCAGAAGAGCUGGACAACCCCCUCCAAGGUAUUUCCCCCUCCCCUCAUGAUGCUGCAGGGCCCCUGCCAAUCAGACCUGCUUGGGUGGGGUUAACCAGAAGCAGGGCCGGCCUCCCAGCCAAUCAACCCUAGGGGGUGGGGAAAAGGGCAGGGUCACCAGAUGCAGGGUAUAAAUACCAGGGGGAAGGGGGGAGAGGGGUUGUUGUUCGUCUGGGGUGUAACCUGGCUGCGGCAGGUCACCCUCCUCUGCGGUUCCUUGGAGUUUAUCCUAGCUGAGGCAAGAAGACUCCCUCCAACAGUUUGGAUCUCCCUACCUCCCAGAGGACUGUUUGUACCUGGAUCCCCUUGAGAUUACAGUGAUAAAUAGCAGCUAUGGCCGUCCGGAGAGCUUGGACCGGGUAUCGCCCUUUGAGGAACCCUACUUGGUGAGAGUUACAGGUGCGUCCAGGAUUUCCCUAUCUUGUACUGAGAGCUUAGAUAGCUGGGCAUCACGCAGGAAAGAAAGACCUUCCUCAGGAAGAUCCUGGUUUUCUUCAUAAAAGUGCUUAAAGUAAGAUUCUAGUUCUGCCAUAAUGGUUUCAGUAUCCCGAGCCCAACCAUCCUUUGUUUUUAACUUUUUAAUAAAACGCGACGUAGCGUUAAGUCUGGUUAACCUGGCUAAAAGCCUACCCGGUUUGUUUCCCCAUCUGUAAAACCUAUUCCUUGUAUGAAAGAGUUUGUAGUGAGCACUAUCGUGUAAUAAAGUAUUGAAUAAA